rnacentral:rRNA from 1 species
GACGAAGGUGGCAAGCGUUGUUCGGAAUCACUGGGCAUAAAGCGCACGUAGGCGGUGGCGUAAGUCGGGUGUGAAAUCCCUCGGCCCAACCGAGGAACUGCGCCCGAUACUGCGUUGCUUGAGGAUCAGAGGGGUGCAUGGAAUUUCCGGUGGAGCGGUGAAAUGCGUUGAUAUCGGAAGGAACUCCGGCGGCGAAAGCGAUGCACUGGCUGAUUUCUGACGCUGAGGUGCGAAAGCCAGGGGAGCAAACGGG